rnacentral:rRNA from 1 species
UAGGGGGCCAGCGUUGCUCGGAAUUACUGGGCGUAAAGGGUCCGUAGGCGGUGCGGUAAGUCGGGAGUGAAAUCUCUGGGCUUAACUCAGAGGCUGCUUCCGAAACUACCGUGCUAGAGUGCGAGAGAGGCAAGUGGAAUUGCGGGUGUAGCGGUGAAAUGCGUAGAUAUCCGCAGGAACAUCCGAGGCGAAAGCGGCUUGCUGGAUCGCAACUGACGCUGAGGGACGAAAGCUAGGGGAGCAAACAGG